UAUCCUGGCUCAGAGUGAACGCUGGCGGCAGGCCUAACACAUGCAAGUCGAACGGCAGCACAGGAGAGCUUGCUCUCUGGGUGGCGAGUGGCGGACGGGUGAGGAAUACGUCGGAAUCUGCCUAUUUGUGGGGGAUAACGUAGGGAAACUUACGCUAAUACCGCAUACGACCUACGGGUGAAAGCGGAGGACCUUCGGGCUUCGCGCAGAUAGAUGAGCCGACGUCGGAUUAGCUAGUUGGCGGGGUAAAGGCCCACCAAGGCGACGAUCCGUAGCUGGUCUGAGAGGAUGAUCAGCCACACUGGAACUGAGACACGGUCCAGACUCCUACGGGAGGCAGCAGUGGGGAAUAUUGGACAAUGGGCGCAAGCCUGAUCCAGCCAUGCCGCGUGUGUGAAGAAGGCCUUCGGGUUGUAAAGCACUUUUGUACGGGAAGAAAAGCUCUGGGUUAAUACCCUGGAGUCAUGACGGUACCGUAAGAAUAAGCACCGGCUAACUUCGUG
rnacentral:rRNA from 1 species